rnacentral:rRNA from 1 species
UACGUAGGGUGCAAGCGUUAUCCGGAAUUAUUGGGCGUAAAGAGCUCGUAGGCGGUUUGUCGCGUCUGCUGUGAAAACUGGGGGGCUCAACCCCCCAGCCUGCAGUGGGUACGGGCAGACUAGAGUCCGGAAGAGGAGAGUGGAAUUCCGGGUGUAGCGGUGGAAUGCGUAGAGAUCCGGAAGAACACCGGUGGCGAAGGCGGCCUGCUGGGCAGUAGCUGACGCUGAGGCGCGACAGCGUGGGGAGCAAACAGG